UUGUUUCUUUACUCUGCCUCUGAACAAAGUCAUAUCUUCAAGUUGCAGGGAAGGACAAUCUCCAUCAAAGGUCAUCAUGUUGUGAGCUGGUGGUGCUGAGAAUUAAGGGGAUGCUAUUAACCAAGGUGAAUUGACUCCAAAGUUACACCCUCAUUAAUGAGUAAUCUGAUGGAGGGCAAAUUUUCAUCUCUCACAUCAAUGCUGUUUAUGUUUUGUGACAGUACACGUUAAUUCUGUGCCUACAUUUUGUUAAGAAGGAAACCAUGCACCAAUCCAGGGGCAGGCUGGCAGCAUCGAAACCGAUGAUACACCAUCUUAAAACGUGCCUGCCUGCCACCCAGCGCGGCCCUUUUUGCCCUGUCUGAAGGACUCUAUGCUGACAGGAGAAGUACAACUGACACUUGUUGAAUUUAACAAGAGGUUGGGAGUGAUCUGCCAAGCACUUCACAGACUGGCUCUACCCACUCCAUCACAAGACGGGAUUUGAGGUUGGAGCGCAUCCCCAGACUGCAAUUCUGAGCCACCUUGUCCAGCUGAGAAGACUGCCAUCUCUAGAUGGCAUAUGAGCUCGAUGCUGUUUCACUUCCACGUCUCUGGACUUUUUUCAACCUCAGGUCUCUCCUAAGCAGGAAAAUUCCCUUUUUGCCUAUCUGUGUUUUGGUGAUAUGGACUGCUAUCUACCUGUGUGGGACUGAGAUCAUAAAACUCCUUUCACUGGCAAUAUGAUUCGGAUUGAAACCAAGGUCAUGAGGUAAAUAGCCAGUGCUUUAUCCUCUCAGCCAAACCCUUGAUAAGGGGUGCUCUUUGAUGUUGAGAAUGAUAGUUGGCUUUUUCAGAACUUAUAUCCAAAACAGUAAUACAUAAUGCAUUUGCUUCUAUCAUACAGCUGCUGACACAUGGUUGAAGGUUAAUUUAAAAAUUACUUAGUGACAAGAGCUACUUUAAAUGAAUCAAAGCUUCAGGAAGCAAAAUAAAUAAUCCUCCACUGACAAAAAAUAUAAAUUGCAAGCAAAUACACCUACAGUUUCCAACUUCUUCCCAAUAAUUCAUUACUUUUUUUUUUUUUUAAAUACAAGCCAGCAGCUGGCUGGUAGAAUCCCUCUCACCAAUGGUGUCUCUUUCUCCAUGGCCUCAUCACAAUUGAACUACUUAUAGUAUACAGUGCCCCUUCUACAGGUGUAAAGACCUCUGCAGAUGCAAAAACUGAUCAGAUCUGCUAUAUCGGUAAUAAAUGGUUCCCACCCUGGUGCUUAAUUGCAAUGAAAAGCUGUUCAUUUUCUCACAUCCUUUGGUUCUGAAGAUGGUGUCUCUUCCUUGCUUACCUGGGCAAUAUAAACAUGAAGCAUAUAAUGCAUUUGCUUUUCACGGGGUUGUGUUAGGCACCUGACCAGGAUAAAUGCUGCGCCUAACACCCAAAACUCCUGCAGAUUUCCUUGAUUAAAUCAUUGCUUCCCUCUGGGCAUCCUAGGAACCUGAUUCUCUCUUGUUUCUCCUGUGACACCUGCUUAUGUUGAGCCACACCCUCCCUCACUGGAUUUCAGAAGAUGUUAAAAAGAGAACUCACAUAAAAAUGGGGGUGAAGGAUCUGAAGGCUAAAGUUCAUCGUAAGUAAGUGGUAGGUGACAUCAAAGUGGAUGCCAAAGUGGAUACCAAAUUUAUAUCAAAGUUGGAGGCUGAAACCACGCAGCUGGAGUUGGAGCACUAUGACUGAAACCUUGAAGUUGGCUUGAAAGUCCAGUGCUUUAACCACUAUGCUAUGAACAACCAACCACCACCCUGUGGAAAGGAAGGUCCUAGAAUGGCACACCCUCUGUCUUUAUUAAAUACGAGCACUUAAAGGCACAGGCUGAAGAGCCCGACUGCCUGGGCUCAAGCUUUUCACUAGUUAUACGAGUAUGAUGUGGGGCAACUUACUUAACCUUUCUGUGACCAUUGCCUCAUCUGAAAAAUGGGAACAAUAACAGUCCCUUCUCUCAGAAUGGUGUUGAAUCUCCCUUCCUUUAUCAGAGCGCUUAAUCAAAAUUUAUAUAUUAUAUAUGUUAUAUAUUAUAUAUUAUAUAUAUAUAUACACAUAUAUAUAUAUAUGGUUCCUCGGGAGGAACAAAAGGUUUGCGUUUAAGAAAGCAUUGAU